rnacentral:rRNA from 1 species
ACAGCUCAAAUUUGAAAUCUGGCCUCUUUGGGGUCCGAGUUGUAAUUUGUAGAGGAUGUUUCGGGUACCGCCUCGGUUUAAAUUUCUUGGAACAGAAUGUCAGAGAGGGUGAGAAUCCCGUCUUGGACCGGCGGUAGGGCCCAUGUGAAACUCCUUCGACGAGUCGAGUUGUUUGGGAAUGCAGCUCAAAAUGGGUGGUAAAUUCCAUCUAAAGCUAAAUAUUGGCGAGAGACCGAUAGCGAA